UGUCUGUUUUAGUUUUGUCUUUUCUUUUGCAGGUCCAAUUUGUCCAGGAUUUUUAAGAUUUGUCCGGUGGGAUUUGGGAAGGAAAGCGAUGCCAUGGAUUUAUAAGAAGCGUCGUUGGGGAGGGAUAUUUUCAUUAUACCGCUACUGUUAUAAAGGUCGAAUUUGAGGGUCACAAUUUUGGCCUUUUGUUGGGCCGGCAGCGCCACACCCAGAGUUCAGAAGGGCGAGGGGGCAUUCCGACAUGGAAACGGCAUCAAAACAUUUUUGGUUUUUAAUGUUUUAGAUGCCAAAGUCGUCGUUUUUCAUUUCGCCGAGUCGGGAAGUAGGAUUUUGUCUGUUUACCGUUGCUGCCAGGAAAAAGUCGAAUUCAAGGGUCGCGAGAUUGACCUUUUGCCGGGUCAGCAGCGGCGCACCUAGGGUUCAGAAGGACGAGGGUGAACCCCAACAUGGAGACGGCAUCCAAACAUUAUAGGAUUUUAAUGUUUUAGGUGCCAAUAGCUUCGGUUUUCGUUGCGCCUAGUAGGGAAGUAGUAGGUUUCGUAGUUUUAUGCUUUUAUUAAUAUGCUUUUCUUUUUCAGGGAUAUUGUCAGUGUUAUCGUUGCUACCAGAAAAAGUCGAAAUUCAAGGGUCACGAUUUUGACCUUUUGCCGGGUCGGCAGCGCCGCACCAAGGGUCAAUAAAAUCGAGGGGGCUUCCUGGAAUAGGGACGGCAUCAAAACAUUGUGGAUUUUUA